rnacentral:rRNA from 1 species
GACGAACGCUGGCGGCGUGCUUAACACAUGCAAGUCGAACGGAAAGGCCCUGCUUUUGUGGGGUGCUCGAGUGGCGAACGGGUGAGUAACACGUGAGUAACCUGCCCUUGACUUUGGGAUAACUUCAGGAAACUGGGGCUAAUACCGGAUAGGAGCUCCUGCUGCAUGGUGGGGGUUGGAAAGUUUCGGCGGUUGGGGAUGGACUCGCGGCUUAUCAGCUUGUUGGUGGGGUAGUGGCUUACCAAGGCUUUGACGGGUAGCCGGCCUGAGAGGGUGACCGGCCACAUUGGGACUGAGAUACGGCCCAGACUCCUACGGGAGGCAGCAGUGGGGAAUAUUGCACAAUGGGCGGAAGCCUGAUGCAGCAACGCCGCGUGCGGGAUGACGGCCUUCGGGUUGUAAACCGCUUUCGCCUGUGACGAAGCGUGAGUGACGGUAAUGGGUAAAGAAGCACCGGCUAACUACGUGCCAGCAGCCGCGGUGAUACGUAGGGUGCGAGCGUUGUCCGGAUUUAUUGGGCGUAAAGGGCUCGUAGGUGGUUGAUCGCGUCGGAAGUGUAAUCUUGGGGCUUAACCCUGAGCGUGCUUUCGAUACGGGUGACUUUGAGGAAGGUAGGGGAGAAUGGAAUUCCUGGUGGAGCGGGUGGAAUGCGCAGAUAUCAGGAGGAACACCAGUGGCGAAGGCGGUUCUCUGGGCCUUUCCUGACGCUGAGGAGCGAAAGCGUGGGGAGCGAACAGGCUUAGAUACCCUGGUAGUCCACGCUGUAAACGGUGGGUACUAGGUGUGGGGUCCAUUCCACGGGUUCCGUGCCGUAGCUAACGCUUUAAGUACCCCGCCUGGGGAGUACGGCCGCAAGGCUAAAACUCAAAGGAAUUGACGGGGCCCCGCACAAGCGGCGGAGCAUGCGGAUUAAUUCGAUGCAACGCGUAGAACCUUACCUGGGUUUGACAUGGAUCGGGAGCGCUCAGAGAUGGGUGUGCCUCUUUUGGGGUCGGUUCACAGGUGGUGCAUGGCUGUCGUCAGCUCGUGUCGUGAGAUGUUGGGUUAAGUCCCGCAACGAGCGCAACCCUUGUUCACUGUUGCCAGCACGUUAUGGUGGGGACUCAGUGGAGACCGCCGGGGUCAACUCGGAGGAAGGUGGGGAUGACGUCAAGUCAUCAUGCCCCUUAUGUCCAGGGCUUCACGCAUGCUACAAUGGCUGGUACAGAGAGUGGCGAGCCUGUGAGGGUGAGCGAAUCUCGGAAAGCCGGUCUCAGUUCGGAUUGGGGUCUGCAACUCGACCUCAUGAAGUCGGAGUCGCUAGUAAUCGCAGAUCAGCAACGCUGCGGUGAAUACGUUCCCGGG